GUUUGAUCCUGGCUCAGGAUGAACGCUAGCGACAGGCUUAACACAUGCAAGUCGAGGGGCAGCAUAAUGUAGCAAUACUAUGGUGGCGACCGGCGCACGGGUGCGUAACGCGUAUGCAACCUACCUUUAACAGGGGGAUAACACUGAGAAAUUGGUACUAAUACCCCAUAAUAUCAUAGAAGGCAUCUUUUAUGGUUGAAAAUUCCGAUGGUUAGAGAUGGGCAUGCGUUGUAUUAGCUAGUUGGUGGGGUAACGGCUCACCAAGGCGACGAUACAUAGGGGGACUGAGAGGUUAACCCCCCACACUGGUACUGAGACACGGACCAGACUCCUACGGGAGGCAGCAGUGAGGAAUAUUGGUCAAUGGACGCAAGUCUGAACCAGCCAUGCCGCGUGCAGGAUGACGGCUCUAUGAGUUGUAAACUGCUUUUGUACGAGGGUAAACGCAGAUACGUGUAGGUGACUGAAAGUAUCGUACGAAUAAGGAUCGGCUAACUCCGUGCCAGCAGCCGCGGUAAUACGGAGGAUUCAAGCGUUAUCCGGAUUUAUUGGGUUUAAAGGGUGCGUAGGCGGUUUGAUAAGUUAGAGGUGAAAUUUCGGGGCUCAACCCUGAACGUGCCUCUAAUACUGUUGAGCUAGAGAGUAGUUGCGGUAGGCGGAAUGUAUGGUGUAGCGGUGAAAUGCUUAGAGAUCAUACAGAACACCGAUUGCGAAGGCAGCUUACCAAACUAUAUCUGACGUUGAGGCACGAAAGCGUGGGGAGCAAACAGGAUUAGAUACCCUGGUAGUCCACGCAGUAAACGAUGAUAACUCGUUGUCGGCGAUACACAGUCGGUGACUAAGCGAAAGCGAUAAGUUAUCCACCUGGGGAGUACGUUCGCAAGAAUGAAACUCAAAGGAAUUGACGGGGGCCCGCACAAGCGGAGGAACAUGUGGUUUAAUUCGAUGAUACGCGAGGAACCU
rnacentral:rRNA from 1 species